GUCAUAAUAAGGCAGUUGACUUUCCGAUCUGCUGGAGAAACAUUCACAACUGAUUUGCAGAAUAGAUUCAUCUGCAGCGUUUAAAGCACGAGCCUCACUAAUAGAGACAACACUUAACCCUAUUUACCAACGACAAUUUUCUUCGUUCCGCUCCUUGACGGUGAUUUUGUUCAGUAAUGGAUCAAUCUUCAACACCAUGAAUCUUAAAUUUGCAUCCACAUCAGUUCCUAGUGGCAGUCAGAUUGGAAACAUUUUGGCUGAUGCAGCUUCAAGCAUCACAGCCUUCAACAUUGAACCUGCCUCCAUUUUUUUGGAUGGCGCACAAGUUUCAAAUGGAGUAAGCCACAAGAUGAGUCUCAUCACUGCAUCCUUCCUUGUGCUGCUGUCAUGGCUACUGUCAAGCUUUCAAUAGUGCAGGGCUCAUGUCUGUUAAGUGAAAUACAAUUACAGAAAGCCUUACAUAACUGUAUUGUAUAUCAGACGCAUCACAUAUAACAACAUUUUAACUUAUUGUGCAGAUAUAAUUUACAGAUAUAACAUUAAAAUUGAACACAGUGCCUUGUAUUAUUAUCCAGUAACUUUUCUUAUUUCUAUCUUUUUAUAUUAUCAUACAUAAGUUAUGUGUAUUCUGUGAGCUUACCUGUAUUUUUGUAAAAAACAAGGUCUUCUUGAUGAUCGGAACACAAAAGAUAUGUUAUGUUUUUAGCAUCCGAAGAUAAAAACAAGGUGUAUCUCAAUAAGUUGAAAAUGCUUCCAUUAAAGGCACUGAAGAUAAGUACAAACAAUCAAACACUGUCUUAUUGUUUCUAAAAACCUUUUCUUCCAAUCUGUUAUUCUCAAUAUGGUUAUAUAUAAGUUAUUCAGGAUUUUCCAGAAAUAAAAUGGCUGCAUGUCGAUUCACAAUGGCCCUGGUUUAAAUGAAUAAAGAAAUAGUCUCAGCUGU